rnacentral:rRNA from 1 species
AUUGAACGCUGGCGGCAGGCCUAACACAUGCAAGUCGAGCGAGCGGCGGACGGGUGAGUAAUGUAUGGGGACUGCCCGAUAGAGGGGGAUAACUACUGGAAACGGUGGCUAAUACCGCAUACUAUCGGAUAACCCAUAUGGGAUUAGCUAGUAUGUGGGGUAAAGGCUCACCUAGGCGACGAUCUCUAGCUGGUCUGAGAGGAUGAUAAGCUACACUGGAGCUGAAACACGACCCAGACUCAUACGGAGGCAGCAGUGGGGAAUGUUGCACAGUGGGCGGAAGCCUGAUGCAGCCAUGCCGCGUGUAUGGAAGAGGCCUUAGGGUUGUAGAGUACUUUCAGCGGGGAGGCGUUACCCGCAGAAGAAGCACCGGCUAACUCCGUGCCAGCAGCCGCGGUAAUAC